UCCACCGCUGAGGCCCAGGGGUAUGGUGUGGUGCACGUGUGGAAGGAGGUAGUGGGACCUUGGAUAGAUACCGACGGACAAAGGAGGGAGCAACAGACGACGUGCCGGACGGACAUCACAAUAUAAACAUAAUUCGUACCAGCAAUAUUGAGUUCAUCUUCAUUCUCGGUAUUAUCACUCGUCUCAUCAAUGUCGUUCGUAUUACUUUCUUCUGAACAAUUGUUCUUACUCCUUUCGAACCUGAAAUGUGGAGACGAUUUAUUGAAAAAUUUUUCAAUGAUACCUUCAGACCGUAAGACGCACUCAAGAUUUGAAUCCCGUUUUCUAUGUAAAGAGGGGCUUCUUAUAGUCCGAAAACUACGAAUUGCGUAGCAGAUUUCGCAUGAUACCAAAGCAAGACUUUGUCUAAACAUUAAAUGUUCUUUACUGUCAACAACUCGAUCGUUUGAAGCUAGUGAUUGACUAGAAGCGGCCAGAUUUCAUCAGGAGAACGCCGGGCUACAAGAGUUAGAGACUCCUCAGAAACUUCAGGAGCUUCGUUAGGAAAUUUUAAUGUGUCCAUCAUGUAGUCCAGACCUGGCACCAAUUACCAUGAGAUACCAUAUAUGGAGAAACAUUAGGUGGAUAGAGAAACAAAAGCUUAAAUUAGGAGAUGAGCACGAUCGGUAUAAUCAAAAGAAUCGUUGAAUCUAUAUAGCGACUGGAUUGUGUUACUGGUAAAAUGUUGGAUGACCUUUCUGCGAAAUAGGUGCCCGAAAUUUGAUUUAAUUCAAAUAUAAAUAAAUUUCAGAGUAUAUUAGCCUUUUUUAAAAGCUUUACAAGUCUUUACGUCAUCACUUAACACUGUCGACUUACCAUUGAAAAACUUGAUGACAUCAGUAAAAUCCAUGCUAUUCGAUAAUAUUAUGUCGCGAUAAGUUUCAAGAAGAGCCAAAGCCAAAAAUAAUACAAAAUGACUGGAAGCUAAUGGUUUGGCAGCCAAAUAAUUUCCUAAUU